GAGUUAAUCUCUCAUUAACUAGUGGAUGAGACUUCUCCACUUUCCAAGUACAUCUCCAUCAACAUCGACCUCAAAUAAUAUUUGAUCUCUAUGCCAUUAUCUUUCUCAAUUCUCAUACUACCUCCAUCUCAUAUAACUUAGGAUAUUUAACAAAAUAAUAAAAAUUAUCUCUAAGGGAAAGAUAAUAUGAUCAUUUAGCUUAAUAUAUUAGAACAAUAAAGGACAUUAUAUUAAUUAAAACAAGACAGCAACGCAAUCAAAGUCACCAAAGAGAAAACACGAACUCUGACAACAAGGCUAACUAGGCUUUAGAUUCUAAUUAAAAUUCGCCUCACAUUAUAUUAAGAGUAUCUAAUUAAUCGCGAAGUCUACAAAGAUAUUCAGAAGGGUCACGGUCAAAAUCAGCCCUAUAAAUGUAACCAUCACGACCUGAAGCUUUUGGCUUUUUCUUGUUGUUAGACCCUUCACUACCAAUGAGCUUGGACAAGCCCCAUCCUAACAAUGCUACACCUGCAGCAAUUGCAACUUUUUUUUAUAGUAACUUCAUUUUCUUCAAAUGACAGAUUAUUGGCCAUCAACUGCUCAACAUUUAGUCCAGAUUUUCUUCCCUCUGAAUUAUUUGCAGUGCUUUCAGAUGACCCCACUAUACUUUUAAUCUCAAACAGCUGAGUUUCUGAUCAGUGCUAAUAGGUAUACUGAUCUGUUUGU
rnacentral:lncRNA from 1 species